UACGGAGGGGGCUAGCGUUGUCCGGAAUUAUUGGGCGUAAAGCGCGCGCAGGCGGCCUUUUAAGUCUGAUGUGAAAUCUUGCGGCUCAACCGCAAGCGGUCAUUGGAAACUGGGAGGCUUGAGUACAGAAGAGGAGAGUGGAAUUCCACGUGUAGCGGUGAAAUGCGUAGAUAUGUGGAGGAACACCAGUGGCGAAGGCGACUCUCUGGUCUGUAACUGACGCUGAGGCGCGAAAGCGUGGGGAGCAAACAGG
rnacentral:rRNA from 1 species